UGAUCAGAUGCUUCAGUGCUCUGAGAGUGUUUAUAGUGCUGUGAGUUUAACACUUCAUCACUGACACACACAACAAUCUUCAUCAACAUGACCUUCAUCAUCAUCUUCAUCUGGACUCUUUCAUACUGCUUUAUACUACAAGGGUGUAAAGCUCAGAUCACAGUCACUCAGACUCCAGUGAAACCUGUCACACCAGGAGAAAAUGUAGAGAUGAGCUGUAAACUCAGUACUGAUACACGCUGCAGCACACCCUGUGUGUCCUGGUACUUACAGAAACCUGGAGAAGCUCCUAAACUCCUGAUUCGUUAUGUUACCACCCGUCAGUCAGAAACUCCAUCUAGAUUCAGUGGCAGUGGAUCUGGGACUGAUUUCACUCUGACCAUCAGUGGAGUCCAGACUGAAGAUGCUGGACAUUAUUACUGUCAGAGUGCUCACGUCAUCAGUGGUAGCUGGGUGUUCACACAGUGAUUGUGAGUGGUACAAAAACCUGUGUCAGUCAGAGUCACAGUGACUGAACUGAUGCUGCAGCUGAUCAAACACUAUCACUCACUACUGACACACAGAGACCAAACACAGAACUACACAUGAGCUCACAACUCAUGUCCGUCCACUUCAUUUCGGUACCUCGAGGGAGAGUAACAGAAAUAGAGGAGGAGAUGGGGAGGUGGAGGGAUGCCAAAAGAAUUGAUGCUGGGACGGUGCAUGAGUGCUGCUUACCCUUGUGACAAACAACUGCACUUAAGUAUACUUUUAUAAAGUGUACUUAUUGCAGAAAAAAUAUAUUUUAAAAGAAC